GAUGAACGCUGGCGGCGUGCCUAAUACAUGCAAGUCGAACGAGGUGCUCUUGUAUCAAUACGAGAGUAUCCUAGUGGCGAACGGGUGAGUAACGCGUUGGUGACCUACCCCAAAGUGUGGAAUAACAGUCCGAAAGGAUUGCUAAUACCGCAUGUGGUUAUCGGGUUUAGAAACUGAUAACUAAAGGAGCAAUUCGCUUUGGGAGGGACCUGCGUCCCAUCAGCUAGUUGGUGAGGUAAUGGCUCAACAAGGCUACGACGGGUAGGGGACCUGAGAGGGUGGACCCCCACAAUGGAACUGAAACACGGUCCAUACACCUACGGGUGGCAGCAGGAGGGGAUAUUGCACAAAGGGCGGAAGCCUGGUGCAGCAACGCCGCGUGCACGAUGAAGGCUUUCGGGUCGGAAAGUGCUUUUCUGGGAGAAGGGAAAGGACGGUAUCCGAGGAAGAAGUCUCGGCUAACUACGUG
rnacentral:rRNA from 1 species